rnacentral:rRNA from 1 species
UACGUAGGUGGCGAGCGUUAUCCGGAAUUAUUGGGCGUAAAGAGCGCGCAGGUGGUUGAUUAAGUCUGAUGUGAAAGCCCACGGCUUAACCGUGGAGGGUCAUUGGAAACUGGUCGACUUGAGCGCAGAAGAGGGAAGUGGAAUUCCAUGUGUAGCGGUGAAAUGCGUAGAGAUAUGGAGGAACACCAGUGGCGAAGGCGGCUUCCUGGUCUGUAACUGACACUGAGGCGCGAAAGCGUGGGGAGCAAACAGGGUUAGAUACCCU